rnacentral:rRNA from 1 species
GUCCACGCCGUAAACGAUGUUCACUCGCUGUUUGCGAUACACAGCAAGCGGCCAAGCGAAAGCAUUAAGUGAACCACCUGGGGAGUACGAUCGCAAGGUUGAAACUCAAAGGAAUUGACGGGGGCCCGCACAAGCGGAGGAACAUGUGGUUUAAUUCGAUGAUACGCGAGGAACCUUACCUGGGCUUAAAUGUAGAGCGACAGAUUGUGAAAGCAGUCCUUCUUCGGACGAUCUACAAGGUGCUGCAUGGUUGUCGU